rnacentral:piRNA from 1 species
UGGCCAGCUCACAAGAACCAUUGUCGCAUG